ensembl:lncRNA
AAGCUUUUCAUGUUUAUUACGUAAUCAUUGAGCAUCGUCCAUAGAUGGUGAAGAACGACUUGUCUCCAUCAGCUGGGAACCGCCAGCGGUGUCUUUGUGCGUGCGUCCGUCAGCACGGGAGGAAGGUUACAGGGAUCAUCACUCAGGCGUCCUCACUGGACUAAAGCCUGGGAACCAGACCAAUGGGGACCAUUCACAUCCAGCAAAUGGGAACCAGACCAAUGGGGACCAUUCACAUCCAGCAAAUGGGAACCAGACCAAUGGGGACCAUUCACAUCCAGCAAAUGGAUCCCGGUACUCCGAAACUGGAACCAGAGUCUCUCGCUUGGUUUCUUGUAUUUUUAGAUAGUAGUUAGUUAGUUUUUUUUUUUUUCGUAUUGGUCUUUUUGUCACUUUUCUGGAAAACCUACAUAUAAGAAGAUGAAGAUAUAAGAAGUGGUGCUGGGUAAUUAACGGAAUAUCAUCACGUAUAUUAUUUACAUGAUGAUUUAAAUACCUUGGUUAUUAUUGUCUAUAGCACAUUUUUCAACCUUUAAUUGCAUUGCAUCCAUUUGGAAUUUGGAAACAAACCCCAUUAUGUGCACAAGCGCUGCUAGUUGGAGAGUUAAAAAAAAAGAGAAAACACUUCCUUCCCGGGGCUGACAGCUCCUUUUCACAUCCAAAAUGAUGACGGUGUAUUAUCCACAGUCUCCUAAUCGGCCACAGGAAAUUUCAGAUGCGCGGUCUGCAGAUGACCUUGACUCGCUCUCCCUCUCUCAGCGGGAUGUGCAACACUGAGAAUUUAAUCCGUGAUGGGGCACUCUCUGAGUUCGAGGAUUACCUUUUUUUUUCAUGCUCUGUUUGAAAAGCUUUCACAGAGAGAACAGUGAGAGAGGGAGAUUUGGUGAUCACCCCAAUAGAGAUAUUGAUUUGUUUAGACCUGAUAUCAACCCCCAGGCAAGAUUUCAGAGAAAACACGUGAGAAAUGUAGUGAGUGCUGACAGCUCAUCAAAAGAGGUGUUGAGGGCCAGCGGCCCCGUGUUGGCUGCUCACAGGGUUUGGCUGUUGGCUCCGGUCCACGCUCCCCCUUUCCGACAGCACAUGUUUGUACCUCGGUGGAUUUCUGCAUGUUUGUUUUUCUGGUAAUUACAUAUGCUGUAAAUCAAAUAUAUAAAAUAAAAAAACUGUGAUUGGUUCUUUCAUUUCUCACACUUCGUACUUCAUGCUCGCUCGCAAACAAGGCCGACGUCUUGA